rnacentral:rRNA from 1 species
ACUUCUUUAGUACCGUAGCUAACGCGUGAAGUUCGCCGCCUGGGGAGUACGGUCGCAAGAUUAAACUCAAAGGAAUUGACGGGGACCCGCACAAGCGGUGGAUGAUGUGGAUUAAUUCGAUGCAACGCGAAAAACCUUACCUACCCUUGACAUGCCAGGAACCCUGCUGAGAGGUGGGGGUGCUCGAAAGAGAGCCUGGGCACAGGUGCUGCAUGGCUGUCGUCAGCUCGUGUCGUGAGAUGUUGGGUUAAGUCCCGCAACGAGCGCAACCCUUGUCAUUAGUUGCCAUCAUUUAGUUGGGCACUCUAAUGAGACUGCCGGUGACAAACCGGAGGAAGGUGGGGAUGACGUCAAGUCCUCAUGGCCCUUAUGGGUAGGGCUUCACACGUCAUACAAUGGUCGGUACAGAGGGUUGCCAAGCCGCGAGGUGGAGCCAAUCCCAGAAAGCCGAUCGUAGUCCGGAUCGUAGUCUGCAACUCGACUGCGUGAAGUCGGAAUCGCUAGUAAUCGUGGAUCAGCAUGCCACGGUGAAUACGUUCCCGGGUCUUGUACACACCGCCCGUCACACCAUGGGAGUGGGUUUCACCAGAAGUAGGUAGCCUAACCGCGAGGGGGCGCUUACCACGGUGGGAUUCAUGACUGG